UCACUCAAAUGCACGUGCAGCGCCGCCUUGUAGGGAGAACGCUUGUCUUCUUACCUGUUUUCGUAUUAAUUCUCUGCCAGCUGCCUGAGCACUAUGGACUUAGUCUUUGAUGCUUACAAUGUUGUUUGUUAUUUGCGUUAUAUUAGGGAUGUACUGAUGGGCAAAAAUCUUGCUGGCAAUUUGUCAUGAAGGAAAGGAGAAAUCUGUCCUGAAUGAAGGAAGAAAUCUGUACGGAGCCAUGCAAAGUCCAGCUUUGGUGAGCAAGUAUCUAGUCUGGGUACCUUCAUGUCCCCACACACCUGGGUGACUCUCUGGGGAGGAGAAAAGCAGGAGGAAAGACCCUCCCAUCCCUGGGUACUUAUUUUGAGUCUAGAGAGCGUGGGCCAGGAGGGGAUGAGAAAGUCCUCAGGAUGCUACAGGGAACAGAAACACUCUGAUGUGACUCAUCCUUCAAGCACCAACAUUUGCAUCCAACUUGCAUCUACCUCCUUCCCCAAAACCCCUGUAAAUACACAGCAAGAACUUC